AAUUGGGGAUCGCAUAUGCACAUAACUGAAACAAACACUGCAAAGCUGGUAGAUGCGCAUCUGUUUCUUCCGUGUAAGCAUAAAAAAAGAACUCAAAAAAUUUCAGCAGUUGCUCACUAACAAAAUUAAUUGGAGCCGCAUACCAUUGAACAAGAGAACGCAUAACGUAAAUGAGCUCAACGACUUCUUGCUUUACUCUUAUAACAUCGUGCGAUUUCCAGAUAGAUAUUUCUUGAUAGUUUUUUUGGCUUAUUGGCUCUUCUUCACUAUCACUAACAUAAGUUUCUUCAGCUAUACUUAGUUUUUCAAUAGCUUGACAACAAUAGGAAACUAGUGAUUGCCAAUCCGAGAAACGAAGAUGAUGCAAAUGAGGAGAAUGGGAUAAUAGUAGCCGAAGAGCCUUAGAAAAAUUCAAACAGACUAC